rnacentral:rRNA from 1 species
UUUGCGCCGAAGGUAUACCGGUAAGGAGUGCUGGAGCGAAUAGAAGUGAGCAUGCAGGCAUGAGUAGCGAUAAUUAAUGUGAGAAUCAUUAACGCCGUAAACCCAAGGUUUCCUACGCGAUGCUCGUCAUCGUAGGGUUAGUCGGGUCCUAAGCCGAGUCCGAAAGGGGUAGGCGAUGGCAAAUUGGUUAAUAUUCCAAUACCAACAUUAGUGUGCGAUGGAAGGACGCUUAGGGCUAAGGGGGCUAGCGGAUGGAAGUGCUAGUCUAAGGUCGUAGGAGCUUAUACAGGCAAAUCCGUAUAAGAACACUCCGAGAACUGAAAGGCUUUUUGAAAUCUUCGGAUGGAUAGAAGAACCCCUGAUGCCGUCGAGCCAAGAAAAGUUUCUAAGUUUAGCUAAUGUUGCCCGUACCGUAAACCGACACAGGUGGGUGGGAUGAGUAUUCUAAGGCGCGUGGAAGAACUCUCUUUAAGGAACUCUGCAAAAUAGCACCGUAUCUUCGGUAUAAGGUGUGGUUCGCUUCGUACUAGGAUUUACUCCGAAAGCGAAGAAACUUACAACAAAGAGUCCCUCCCGACUGUUUACCAAAAACACAGCACUCUGCUAACUCGUAAGAGGAUGUAUAGGGUGUGACGCCUGCCCGGUGCUCGAAGGUUAAUUGAUGGGGUUAGCAUUAGCGAAGCUCUUGAUCGAAGCCCGAGUAAACGGCGGCCGUAACUAUAACGGUCCUAAGGUAGCGAAAUUCCUUGUCGGUUAAAUACCGACCUGCAUGAAUGGCGUAACGAGAUGGGAGCUGUCUCAAAGAGGGAUCCAGUGAAAUUGUAGUGGAGGUGAAAAUUCCUCCUACCCGCGGCAAGACGGAAAGACCCCGUGGACCUUUACUACAGCUUGACACUGCUACUUGGAUAAGAAUGUGCAGGAUAGGUGGGAGGCUUUGAGUAUAUGACGCCAGUUGUAUAUGAGCCAUUGUUGAGAUACCACUCUUUCUUAUUUGGGUAGCUAACCAGCUUGAGUUAUCCUCAAGUGGGACAAUGUCUGGUGGGUAGUUUGACUGGGGCGGUCGCCUCCCAAAUAAUAACGGAGGCUUACAAAGGUUGGCUCAGAACGGUUGGAAAUCGUUCGUAGAGUAUAAAGGUAUAAGCCAGCUUAACUGCAAGACAUACAAGUCAAGCAGAGACGAAAGUCGGUCUUAGUGAUCCGGUGGUUCUGUGUGGAAGGGCCAUCGCUCAAAGGAUAAAAGGUACCCCGGGGAUAACAGGCUGAUCUCCCCCAAGAGCUCACAUCGACGGGGAGGUUUGGCACCUCGAUGUCGGCUCAUCGCAUCCUGGGGCUGGAGCAGGUCCCAAGGGUAUGGCUGUUCGCCAUUUAAAGCGGUACGCGAGCUGGGUUCAGAACGUCGUGAGACAGUUCGGUCCCUAUCUGCCGUGGGCGUAAGAAGAUUGAAGAGAUUUGACCCUAGUACGAGAGGACCGGGUUGAACAAACCACUGGUGUAGCUGUUGUUCUGCCAAGAGCAUCGCAGCGUAGCUAAGUUUGGAAAGGAUAAACGCUGAAAGCAUCUAAGCGUGAAGCCAACUCUAAGAUGAAUCUUCUCUAAGCUCUCUAGAAGACUACUAGUUUGAUAGGCUGGGUGUGUAAUGGAUGAAAGUCCUUUAGCUGACCAGUACUAAUAGAGCGUUUGGCUUAUCUUUAAUAAAGCAU